rnacentral:lncRNA from 1 species
AUACGAAAAAAUUACAUAGAAUCACGUAAAGUAAGGUUGAGAAUAAGAAGAAAAUGAAAUAUAAUAAUAUAAAAUAAAAAAUAAACUUUUACAAAUUUUUAGAAUAAUAAAAUUAAAAAAGAACUUAAAAUAAUAGAAGUAAAAAAAAUUAAAACAAAAAAAUUAAAAUAGAAAUAAAAAAAAUGAAAUUAAAAAGUAAUCAGGUGAUAAUUACACCAUGUA